GCGUCUGCGUCUCUCCUCCUCCUCCUUCAGGGCUCUCUGGGUCUCCGAGCGAAGGUGCUCGUCUACGAUGAUCCUGCGGAUCUUCUUGCGGCCCUUAGGUGUACCUUUGUUGUCCCCUUCCUCGCCGUCCUUCUCUUCAUCGUCACUCUGUUUAGAUAGAUAGAUCAAUUGCCAGGACAAUAAGCAUCAGCUCCAUGGCUGUUCUAAAUUCAUGACCAAGUCUCUGGAGGAGCGACAGAAAUAUGUUUAGAAAAUAAGCUUUGCUAUGGGUGCUUGAAAUCUGGUCACA